UACGUAGGUGGCAAGCGUUGUCCGGAAUUAUUGGGCGUAAAGCGCGCGCAGGCGGUCCUUUUAAGUCUGAUGUGAAAGCCCACGGCUCAACCGUGGAGGGUCAUUGGAAACUGGGGGACUUGAGUGCAGAAGAGGAAAGUGGAAUUCCACGUGUAGCGGUGAAAUGCGUAGAGAUGUGGAGAACACCAGUGGCGAAGGCGGCCGUC
rnacentral:rRNA from 1 species